GACAGAGGAUGCAAGCGUUAAUCGGAAUUACUGGGCGUAAAGCGUGCGUAGACGGUUAUGUAAGUCAGAUGUGAAAGCCCAGGGCUCAACCUUGGAAUUGCAUUUGAGACUGCAUAGCUAGGGUGCGGAAGAGGGAAGCGGAAUUUCCGGUGUAGCGGUGAAAUGCGUAGAUAUCUGGAGGAACACCGGUGGCGAAGGCGGCAUCCUGGACCGACACUGACGCUGAGGAGCGAAAGCCAGGGGAGCAAACGGG
rnacentral:rRNA from 1 species